GAUGAAGAACGCAGCAAAAUGCGAUAAGUAAUGUGAAUUGAGAAUUCAGUGAAUCAUCGAAUCUUUGAACGCACAUUGCGCCCGCCAGUAUUCUGGCGGGCAUGCCUGUUCGAGCGUCAUUUCAACCCUCAAGCACAGCUUGGUGUUGGGACUCGCGUUAAUUCGCGUUCCCCAAAUUGAUUGGCGGUCACGUCGAGCUUCCAUAGCGUAGUAGUAAAACCCUCGUUACUGGUAAUCGUCGCGGCCACGCCGUUAAACCCCAACUUCUGAAUGUUGACCUCGGAUCAGGUAGGAAUACCCGCUGAACUUAAGCAUAUCAAUAAGCGGAGGA
rnacentral:misc_RNA from 1 species